rnacentral:lncRNA from 1 species
CCUCCCUCCUCCUUGCUCCUUUCCAAGUCCCUCUAGGGCAGCCCACAGCAGCUCCAGUGGUCCUGGCAUCUCUCUGUGCUUCCACUGCCCACCUGGCUGUGCCCCUGCAGCGGUGACCGUGGUGGUGGAAUUGUGAUGGCUGGGGACCGAAGUGCCAGCGUUUCUCCAAGCACUAGGACAUCGCACAGCCAGACGAAGUUUCUUGGGGCCAAUAGCCCUGGGCUGUGGGAGCCCUGGCUGGGCCACACCCCACCUCAGGCAUCUGAGGGGCCCCUUGGCUGCACCCCUGCAAGGUCUCAGCUUGGUCAAGCACACAGGCCACCUCUUGAGCGAUAAGCACUGUCUUGCUCCCCACCAAGGCUUGAGUCCAGGUAGCCACUUCCCCCAGCCCAGGCAGUGGCAGCUGCACCCUGCAGCUCUGAAGUGAGAGUGAAGGCACAAGAGGACAGACACCACGGGGGACACCGGCGCCCUGACCCAGCAUCUGCGGCAGCACCAGGAAGCCAAGCAAACCUCUCAGCAAAAAGCCGCCCCAAGCGGCCAGGACCUCCUCAUCAAGGAUUGUCAUUUUCACCCCAAUUUCUACCCGACCUCCAACUCAGGGUCAACCAGAGAAAGCCAAAUCUGCUACCCCAACCAAUGACUUAGAAGGCCCCAGUGCUAGUGAGCCCCGCCUUUCUCUGCUACAAAGCGUUUCCCUCACUGCCUGCCUUUGAGCCUCUGCCUCAUGUAAGUAGCAGGGCCUGGCUGUUGCCACAGCAAGCUCGUGAUACCCAGCCUCUGCUUACUCUCGGUUGAGUGGUCUCCACGUAUUUCCAUGCCAGCCCUGGGUGCCCACAUCUCUCAUCUAUCACCCUCCUUGGGUUGAAACACCCGUGUCUCAGCCCUGGGGCUCACAGUCCCUCAAAACAAACCUCCGGGCCUCCGUCCCCUCCUCCUGCUGCCUUGAAAACACAGUCUUGGCUGUGUCCCUUGGCUCUGUCCCGCCCCUAUGAGUGGUCCUGCCACUGUGGUGACUACCCUUGGAGUGUCCUGCCCUGCGCUGGCCUGGCCUGAGCAGCCAGCAAGCCCCGGCCUUGGGAUGGACAACAUUAAAACCAUUGCAGCUCCACCAGAUGCUGAUAACAGACCCCAUGCCAGCAGCCAUAACUAUAACUGUGAUUGGAUAAGAGGCUGAUUUCAGUAGCUUUCUCUUGAUAAGAAACCACUGGCCAAAGACUGAGGCAUGGGACGGAUUCUACCUCGGAGCUUCCAGAAGGAACCCACCCUGCAGACACCUUGAUUUCAGACUUCCAGCCUCCAGAACUAUGAGAGACCGGCUCUGCCGGUUUACAGAGGCUGCUCACUGAGCGGCUUUACGUUCCUGCUUCACCUUUUGACAUACAGAGCCUGACUGUAAUGCCUUUAAAUGUGAAGCCUCCACCCCAGGUGAACAUGGGACGCAUGUAACACGCAUGUGUGCUCAGUGCACAUGUCAGGACCUGCUUUGUGAAUAUUCACAGCUCCUCCUGUAACCUGCUGAGUAUGCUUAACCUGCCAUAACCUUAGCCAAUGCAUUCAGCAUAAAGCCCCGUUCCACCCUCACCUCCUCGAAGCGCCUGCCUCUGGUUUUGGCUAGAGGCCCAAUUCCCAGCUCACAGGUUGUAACCCUUUAUAAUAGUCUCCCUUCUAAAUUUAUAAAUCGUGCAAUUCUUGGGCUGACAUGUGACUUUCUGCUCCCCACGUUUGUUCCUCCUCUCUUCUAAGGUCACCUGCCAUUGGAUUUGGAGGCCAUCGUAAUCUAAGAUCUCAUCUCAAGAUCCUUAACUACAUUUGCAAAGAUGCUUUUAUUUUCCAAAUAAGGUCUGACUCAUAGCACCUGGAAGUUAGGACGCAUACUGGUCAUGGGUGGGGCCAGC